rnacentral:misc_RNA from 1 species
GGUUGGAUCAUUACAAAGAUCUUUGAAUAAGGUGUUGGAGGCCAUUGCAGGAUUUUGCCAGCAUCGCCCGACACCUUAUUUCACAACCCACAUCUUGUGCACUGUAAAACUGUCCUUGGUGGUUGGGUAGUAGGGAGCUGCGUGCACACCGCUACCCCGCGCUCGGAGGUUUUGAAACCCCGAGGCAGGCCACCGCCGGUUGGGGGCGAACGCCCCCCUCCGGGUUGUCAAACAAACUUUUGCCUUUCAUUUGUUAAUUCUUUAUGUUUUUUACAAACGACCUUUUGAAAAACGUAAACAACUUUUGGCAACGGAUCUCUUGGUUCUCGCAACGAUGAAGAGCGCAGCGAAAUGCGAUAAGUAAUGUGAAUUGCAGAAUUCAGUGAAUCAUCAAAUCCUUGAACGCACAUUGCGCUCCUUGGCAUUCCGGGGAGCAUGCCCGUUUCAGAAUCAUUUAAACCCAUCAGCCUCCUCUCGGGGUGGUUGGACUUUGGAUUGCAUGAUUCAGGGUUGCCAUUUGCAAGGUCUGGCCUGGCCGCUUCGACCGUAAAAAUGGCUGCUGAUCAUACGUCUUAAAAGUAGGGUCUUGGUCUGAGUCGACUUGUCCAAUCAUGACAAUGAACUCGACAGUGCAACAGAGAUGAAAGUCUUUCUCACUGCUUGAGGUUAUGAUUGUGGCUUGAUUCUGCCGAGUCCUUUUUUGAUUCCAGUACCGGAUGCUGGCUUGAGUGCUUGUGUCUGAGAACUUGGUCUGAAAUCGGGCAAGAAAACCCGCUGAACUUAAGCAUAUCAAUAAGCGGAGGAAAAGAAACUAACCAGGAUUCCCCUAGUAACUGCGAGUGAAGAGGGAAGAGCUCAAAUUUGAAAUCUCGCAGGUCUCACCUGUGCGAAUUGUAGUUUAGAGAAGUGUUUUCGGGGGCAGCUCGGGUAUAAGUCCUUUGGAAUGAGGCGUCAUAGAGGGUGAGAAUCCCGUUUAUGAUCCGAUGUCUGCUCCUAUGUGAUACACUUUCAAAGAGUCAGGUAGUUUGGGAUUGCUGCCUAAAAUGGGUGGUAAAUACCAUCUAAAGCUAAAUAUUGGCGAGAGACCGAUAGCGAACAAGUACCGUGAGGGAAAGAUGAAAAGAACUUUGAAAAGAGAGUUAAACAGUACGUGAAAUUGCCAAAAGGGAAACGCUUGGAACUAGUAUUGCUGAGAGGUAAUCAGCUGUGCCUACCGCAAGGGACGGCACGGUGCACUUGCCUCUUUGCAGGUCAACAUCAGUUUGGCUCAGGGUAAAAAGCUGCGGGAAGGUGGCUCUCUUCGGGGAGUGUUAUAGCUCGCAGACAUGCCUUGGGCUGGACUGAGGUUCGCAGCAUUAUUUGGGUUGCUGGUCGCCCUUUGAAACUCACGCUCGGACAGCAUGCUGAUCGGGUGUGAGUGUAGGAGGCUCGGUUAGUUUAUCACACCAAUGCUUAGGAUGUUGACGAAAUAGUUCCAAACGACCCGUCUUGAAACACGGACCAAGGAGUCUAACAUAUAUGCGAGUAUUUGGGUGGCAAACCCUUAUGCGAAAUGAAAGUGAAAACGGUGGGAUCUUCGGUGCACCAUCGACCGGCCUGGAUUCUUUUGAUGGGCCUGAGUAAGAGCAUAUCUGUUGGGACCCGAAAGAUGGUGAACUAUGCCUGAAUAGGGUGAAGCCAGAGGAAACUCUGGUGGAGGCUCGUAGCGAUUCUGACGUGCAAAUCGAUCGUCAAAUUUGGGUAUAGGGGCGAAAGACUAAUCGAACCAUCUAGUAGCUGGUUCCCUC